rnacentral:rRNA from 1 species
CUCUGAUGUUAGCGGCGGACGGGUGAGUAACACGUGGAUAACCUACCUAUAAGACUGGGAUAACUUCGGGAAACCGGAGCUAAUACCGGAUAAUAUUUUGAACCGCAUGGUUCAAAAGUGAAAGACGGUCUUGCUGUCACUUAUAGAUGGAUCCGCGCUGCAUUAGCUAGUUGGUAAGGUAACGGCUUACCAAGGCAACGAUGCAUAGCCGACCUGAGAGGGUGAUCGGCCACACUGGAACUGAGACACGGUCCAGACUCCUACGGGAGGCAGCAGUAGGGAAUCUUCCGCAAUGGGCGAAAGCCUGACGGAGCAACGCCGCGUGAGUGAUGAAGGUCUUCGGAUCGUAAAACUCUGUUAUUAGGGAAGAACAUAUGUGUAAGUAACUGUGCACAUCUUGACGGUACCUAAUCAGAAAGCCACGGCUAACUACGUGCCAGCAGCCGCGGUAAUACGUAGGUGGCAAGCGUUAUCCGGAAUUAUUGGGCGUAAAGCGCGCGUAGGCGGUUUUUUAAGUCUGAUGUGAAAGCCCACGGCUCAACCGUGGAGGGUCAUUGGAAACUGGAAAACUUGAGUGCAGAAGAGGAAAGUGGAAUUCCAUGUGUAGCGGUGAAAUGCGCAGAGAUAUGGAGGAACACCAGUGGCGAAGGCGACUUUCUGGUCUGUAACUGACGCUGAUGUGCGAAAGCGUGGGGAUCAAACAGGAUUAGAUACCCUGGUAGUCCACGCCGUAAACGAUGAGUGCUAAGUGUUAGGGGGUUUCCGCCCCUUAGUGCUGCAGCUAACGCAUUAAGCACUCCGCCUGGGGAGUACGACCGCAAGGUUGAUACUCAGAGGAAUUGACGGGGACCCGCACAAGCGGUGGAGCAUGUGGUUUAAUUCGAAGCAACGCGUAGAAACCUUACCACAUCUUGACAUCCUUUGACAACUCUAGAGAUAGAGCCUUCCCCUUCGGGGGACAAAGUGACAGGUGGUGCAUGGUUGUCGUCAGCUCGAGUCGGGAGAUGUUGGGGUUAAGUCCCGCAACUAAGCGCAACCCUUAAGCUUAAA